GAUUGCAGGCUGCAACCCGCCUGCAUGAAGUCGGAAUUGCUAGUAAUCGCGGAUCAGCAUGCCGCGGUGAACACGUUCCCGGGCCUUGUACACACCGCCCGUCACACCAUGGGAGCCGGUAAUACCCGAAGUCAGUAGUCCAACCACGUGAGGACGCUGCCGAAGGUAGGAUUGGCGACUGGGGUGAAGUCGUAACAAGGUACC
rnacentral:rRNA from 1 species